ensembl:snRNA U6 U6 spliceosomal RNA
GUGCUCGCCUUGGCAGCACAUAAACCAAAAUUGGAAUGAUACAGAGAAGACUAGCAUGGCCCCUGAGCAAGGAUGAUACACAAAUUCGUGAAGCAUUCCAUGUUUUU